UCCAGCCCCAAAAACUUUCCUAAAUUUACUUCACCGGUACGUGGCCGAGUAAAAAUCUUCGGCUGCGGGGCUGCUGCAUCUUCGCCAGCGCGCCUCCCGCCGGUCCCCCGCCGGCCCCGCUGCUACUCGUUCCAUCCCUUGCCCUCUGCCACUGUUGUGCCCGUCAGCCAGCCCGUUCAGCCCCUGUCGCCGUCGUCGGAAUCAAGGUCACCUGUCGCUCGCCGCUUCGGACUAAACCACGUCGGCCGGCUUUUGCACCACCACCGCACCCCAAGUGUUCGAAGAAUUGCCUAGACGAAGAGGUUGAGGGAGAUGGCGUUGGAGGACUCGACGUCGUCUGAAGAGGAGGAAGAAGACGACGAUGACUUUGACACCGUUUUAGGCAUGAUUUUCAAUGAUGAUGUUCGGCGGCCGAGGAGAGGAUCACAAUUUGGCCGCAUACACAUCACAAUUUGGCCGGUCACAAUUUGCAAUUGUUCGUGGCCCAGGAACUCCAAGGUUCGAUGGCAAAUCAUGACUUGUUGCAUCAUAUUGCAUAACAUGAUCAUUAAAGACGAGAGAGAUAUGCCUGAGAACUUUCGGUACAUCACCAACGAG